rnacentral:lncRNA from 1 species
UCUCCUGCUACUCUGCACAUCCUUUCCUCCUCCUCCCCUCUCCUGCUACUCUGCACAUCCCUUCCUCAUCCUCCUGGUCCCCUCUCCUGCUACUCUGCACAUCCCUUCCUCAUCCUCCUCCUCCUCUCUCCUGCUACUCUGUACAUCCCUUCCUCCUCCUCCUGGUCCUCUCUCCUGCUACUCUGUACAUCCCUUCCUCCUCCUCCUGGUCCCCUCUCCUGCUACUCUGUACAUCCCUUCCUCCUCCUCCUGGUCCCCUCUCCUGCUACUCUGUACAUCCCUUCCUCCUCCUCCUGGUCCCCUCUACUGCUACUCUGCACAUCCCUUCCUCCUCCUCCUCCUCCCUCCGGACUCUGAAAGAGCAUACUAUAGCUAUGAACUCAUAAAAACAGUGACUGUCCAAUCCUUCCUCUUUUCCACCCUUCCUGAGCCACUACCAGUUGUUCUUAUCAUGUCCCCCCCCCCCCCCCCUGCUGCAGAGCUCCGUUAAUUACCAUGUCAUCCUUUCCUGAUUAGUGAUGUCAUACGCCCACACUAAUCAUGCGCAUCGCUACCUUACCCUAUCCCUACCACAGCCAAUCCCUCCUAUCCGUUGUACAGGAAAGGGGCUAGGCCUUGAGAAGAGGAUCCAUUCACUUUUAUUAUUAACAGCUUUUUGCAGAGAGAAACGCUUCCUUAAUGAAUGACAAGAAAUGAAUAAUGCUAUGUUUUAUGAAGUUAAUUUUAAAAAGCUAGCUCGAGAUCCACACCAACCGGACAAGCUUAUUUCUGUCCUUGAUGUAUACCUAUGUGAUAUGACAUUUAAUGACGUUUAUGUUGGGAGUGUUUUAUUCUCGUCUUUCUUCUUCUCCCUCUCUCUCUCGUGGCCAGAACACCUUGACAAACAGCAUUUUCUCAUCUUCCUCCUCCCUCUUUCUGUAAUGUUUACAUAUGAUGAUGUUUCUCUCUCCCUCUGCAUUAUGGUAAUGGUUGUGUUAUUUGACUGGUAUGUAUCUCUCUACCUCUGCAUUACGGUACUGGCUGUGUUAUUUGACUGGUAUGUUUCUCUCUACCUCUGCAUUAUGGUAAUGGUUGUGUUAUUUGACUGGUAUGUAUCUCUCUACCUCUGCAUUACGGUACUGGCUGUGUUAUUUGACUGGUAUGUUUCUCUCUACCUCUGCAUUAUGGUAAUGGUUGUGUUAUUUGACUGGUAUGUUUCUCUCUACCUCUGCAUUAUGGUAAUGGCUGGGUUAUUUGACUGGUAUGUUUCUCUCUACCUCUGCAUUAUGGUAAUGGCUGUGUUAUUUGACUGGUAUGUUUCUCUCUCCCUCUGCAUUAUGGUAAUGGUUGUGUUAUUUGACUGGUAUGUUUCUCUCUACCUCUGCAUUACGGUAAUGGUUGUGUUAUUUGACUGGUAUGUUUCUCUCUACCUCUGCAUUACGGUAAUGGCUGUGUUAUUUGACUGGUAUGUUUCUCUCUACCUCUGCAUUAUGGUAAUGGUUGUGUUAUUUGACUGGUAUGUUUCUCUCUACCUCUGCAUUACGGUACUGGCUGUGUUAUUUGACUGGUAUGUUUCUCUCUACCUCUGCAUUACGGUACUGGCUGUGUUAUUUGACUGGUAUGUUUCUCUCUACCUCUGCAUUACGGUAAUGGCUGUGUUAUUUGACUGGUAUGUUUCUCUCUGCAUUACGGUAAUGGUUGUGUUAUUUGACUGGUAUGUUUCUCUCUGCAUUAUGGUAAUGGUUGUGUUAUUUGACUGGUAUGUUUCUCUCUACCUCUGCAUUAUGGUAAUGGUUGUGUUAUUUGACUGGUAUGUUUCUCUCUACCUCUGCAUUAUGGUAAUGGUUGUGUUAUUUGACUGGUAUGUUUCUCUCUACCUCUGCAUUAUGGUAAUGGCUGUGUUAUUUGACUGGUAUGUUUCUCUCUGCAUUACGGUAAUGGUUGUGUUAUUUGACUGGUAUGUUUCUCUCUACCUCUGCAUUAUGGUAAUGGCUGUGUUAUUUGACUGGUAUGUUUCUCUCUACCUCUGCAUUAUGGUAAUGGCUGUGUUAUUUGACUGGUAUGUUUCUCUCUACCUCUGCAUUAUGGUAAUGACUGUGUUAUUUGACUGGUAUGUUUCUCUCUACCUCUGCAUUAUGGUAAUGGCUGUGUUAUUUGACUGGUAUGUUUCUCUCUACCUCUGCAUUAUGGUAAUGGCUGUGUUAUUUGACUGGUAUGUUUCUCUCUACCUCUGCAUUAUGGUAAUGGCUGUGUUAUUUGACUGGUAUGUUUCUCUCUACCUCUGCAUUAUGGUAAUGACUGUGUUAUUUGACUGGUAUGUUUCUCUCUACCUCUGCAUUAUGGUAAUGGCUGGGUUAUUUAACUGGUAUGUUUCUCUCUACCUCUGCAUUAUGGUAAUGGCUGUGUUAUUUGACUGGUAUGUUUCUCUCUGCAUUAUGGUAAUGGCUGUGUUAUUUGACUGGUAUGUUUCUCUCUACCUCUGCAUUAUGGUAAUGGCUGUGUUAUUUGACUGGUAUGUUUCUCUCUACCUCUGCAUUAUGGUAAUGACUGUGUUAUUUGACUGGUAUGUUUCUCUCUACCUCUGCAUUAUGGUAAUGGCUGGGUUAUUUAACUGGUAUGUUUCUCUCUACCUCUGCAUUAUGGUAAUGGCUGUGUUAUUUGACUGGUAUGUUUCUCUCUGCAUUAUGGUAAUGGUUGUGUUAUUUGACUGGUAUGUUUCUCUCUACCUCUGCAUUACGGUAAUGGUUGUGUUAUUUGACUGGUAUGUUUCUCUCUACCUCUGCAUUAUGGUAAUGACUGUGUUAUUUGACUGGUAUGUUUCUCUCUACCUCUGCAUUACGGUAAUGGCUGUGUUAUUUGACUGGUAUGUUUCUCUCUACCUCUGCAUUACGGUAAUGGCUGUGUUAGUUGACUGGUAUGUUUCUCUCUGCAUUACGGUAAUGGUUGUGUUAUUUGACUGGUAUGUUUCUCUCUGCAUUAUGGUAAUGACUGUGUUAUUUGACUGGUAUGUUUCUCUCUACCUCUGCAUUACGGUAAUGGCUGUGUUAUUUGACUGGUAUGUUUCUCUCUACCUCUGCAUUAUGGUAAUGGUUGUGUUAUUUGACUGGUAUGUUUCUCUCUGCAUUAUGGUAAUGGUUGUGUUAUUUGACUGGUAUGUUUCUCUCUACCUCUGCAUUAUGGUAAUAGCUGUGUUAUUUAACUGGUAUGUUUCUCUCUACCUCUGCAUUAUGGUAAUGGCUGUGUUAUUUGACUGGUAUGUUUCUCUCUACCUCUACAUUACGGUACUGGCUGUGUUAUUUGACUGGUAUGUUUCUCUCUACCUCUGCAUUACGGUAAUGGCUGUGUUAUUUCACUGGUAUUUUUCUCAGACUGCACAAGCACAUUUAGUAAUUGUGCUUGUGAAGUCAGUAUAAUGGGUUUUGCAGCAUAAUGGUGAAAGAAAGAAGAAUUGUUGUCCUUUUUGUUGAUUCUGUUGUGUUUCUCAGGCAUUGAGAGGAAGUCGACCUCUUGUGUGUAUACUUAGCACCUUGUGUGUAAUGGCAUUUGGUGGCGUCAUGCUCUCGUGUUUUUGAGAACGCCGCGUUCGAUUACUGUCGGAAGCUAUAAGUGCUGAUUGUUUGUGUGUUAGCCGUAAGCUUGUGCACACACACAUUCACACACACACAUUCACACACACUCACCUUCCAAGAAUAUAGUUAAAAAGUCACAGAAACUGGAGAGGGAUGGAGAAAGGGAGGGAUGGAUGGAGAUAUAGAGGGAUGAGAAAGGGAGGGAUAGAGGGAUGAGAGAGGGAUGGAUAGUGGGAUGAGAGAGGGAUUGAUGGAUGAGAGGGGGAUG